rnacentral:lncRNA from 1 species
CUCUGGUCCUUCCCGCCAUUUCAAGUCUAACAAACCCUAAUUCAAUCACAUUACUAAGGUGAGCAAAAAUAAAUUUCACAUAUACACACUUAGCAACUUCAACAAUUAUCAAAACUUUCACUUUCAUACACUCACAAUACAUAAUUCAAUUAAUCAUCAACUUGUUGAUUAACACAUACAAAAAUCAUAACAUUAUAACAACACACAUAAACACCCACAAACAUUGACCCCAAGGUAUUAUCGCAACCUUGGCUCUGAUACCACGCUGUCACGACCCAAAUUUCGGGCGACCCAAAAUUUGACCCGUGACCCCAGGUCAAAGGUUUGACCCUAGACCCUAGGUCAAAGGUUUGACCCUAAGGGUUCCUCCUAUUCCAUGUUGGCAGUCAACCAAAACACUCUGGAUUUUUUUUUUUCAUACAUCUCACUAGAAUUCUCAUAAAUUACAAUAUCCCAAACCUACUCAAAACAACAAGAUUAAAUAAAUAUUCAUUAUAGUCCAAAAUAAAAGUUCACAAUUAACAACUUAAUCAAAUAAAGCUUCAUAGCAAAUCCAUGAGUCAUAAUUGCUAAAACAAAUCCCCAAAAUCCAAAAAGGAACACAAUAACAAAUAAAUGCCACGCUCCACUAGGCCGCUCCAGGAGCAUCCUGAAGUCCUCCCUGUCCCACCUGUGGAUCCUUAGGAGAGAUAUCUGCAUCUAAAAAG